rnacentral:rRNA from 1 species
GAGUUUGAUCAUGGCUCAGAACGUACGCUGGCGGCACGCCUAACACAUGCAAGUCGAACGAAGUAGCAAUACUUAGUGGCAGACGGGUGAGUAACAUGUGGGUAUCUACCCUUUGGCCUGGAAUAACACGAGGAAACUUGUGCUAAUACCGGAUAAGUCUUUACGGAGAAAGCUUUAUGCACCAUUGGAUGAGCCCGCACUUGAUUAGUUUGUUGGUAGGGUAAUGGCCUACCAAGACUAUGAUCAAUAGCUGAUUUGAGAGGAUGAUCAGCCACAUUGGGACUGAGACACGGCCCAAACUCCUACGGGAGGCAGCAGUGGGGAAUCUUGCACAAUGGAGGAAACUCUGAUGCAGCGAUGCCGCGUGAGUGAAGAAGGCCUUUGGGUUGUAAAGCUCUUUCGUCGGGGAAGAAAAUGACUGUACCCGAAUAAGAAGGUCCGGCUAACUUCGUGCCAGCAGCCGCGGUAAUACGAAGGGACCUAGCGUAGUUCGGAAUUACUGGGCUUAAAGAGUUCGUAGGUGGUUGAAAAAGUUGGUGGUGAAAUCCCAGAGCUUAACUCUGGAACUGCCAUCAAAACUUUUCAGCUAGAGUAUGAUAGAGGAAAGCAGAAUUUCUAGUGUAGAGGUGAAAUUCGUAGAUAUUAGAAAGAAUACCAAUUGCGAAGGCAGCUUUCUGGAUCAUUACUGACACUGAGGAACGAAAGCAUGGGUAGCGAAGAGGAUUAGAUACCCUCGUAGUCCAUGCCGUAAACGAUGUGUGUUAGACGUUGGAAAUUUAUUUUCAGUGUCGCAGGGAAACCGAUAAACACACCGCCUGGGGAGUACGACCGCAAGGUUAAAACUCAAAUGAAUUGACGGGGGCCCGCACAAGCGGUGGAGCAUGUGGUUUAAUUCGAUGAUACGCGAGGAACCUUACCUGGGCUUAAAUGUGACCGGACAGACUGUGAAAGCAGUCCUUCUUCGGACUGGUCUCAAGGUGCUGCAUGGUUGUCGUCAGCUCGUGCUGUGAGGUGUCGGGUUAAGUCCCAUAACGAGCGCAACCCUUAUCUUUAGUUGCCAGCGAGUAAUGUCGGGGACUUUAAAGAGACUGCCCGUGUAAACGGGAGGAAGGUGGGGAUGACGUCAAAUCAUCACGGCCCUUACGUCCAGGGCUACACACGUGCUACAAUGGUGAGUACAGAUGGUUGCUGCUUGGUGACAAGUUUGCUAAUCUAUAAAACUCAUCUCAGUUCGGAUUGGAGUCUGAAACUCGACUCCAUGAAGUUGGAAUCGCUAGUAAUCGCAUAUCAGCCAUGAUGCGGUGAAUACGUUCCCGGGCCUUGUACACACCGCCCGUCAAGCCAUGGAAGUUGGGAGUGCCUAAAGUCGGAAACCAUAUAGGAUCCGCCUAGGGUAAAACCGAUAACUAGGGCUAAGUCGUAACAAGGUAACC